rnacentral:rRNA from 1 species
GAUGAACGCUGGCGGCGUGCUUAACACAUGCAAGUCGAACGGUGAACGAGGGAGCUUGCUCCCUCCGGAUCAGUGGCGAACGGGUGAGUAACACGUCAGCAAUCUGCCCUUGCCUCUGAGUUAAGCGUUGGAAACGACGUCUAAUACCGGAUCCGCGCCGUUGCGGCAUCCCCAACGCCUGGAAAGCACUUCGGUCCAGGAUCAGCUCGCGGCCUAUCAGGUAGUUGGUGGGGUAAUGGCUCACCAAGCCUACGACGGGUAGCCGGCCUGAGAGGGUGACCGGCCACACUAGGACUGAGACACGGCCCAGACUCCGACGGGAGGCAGCAGUGGGGAAUAUUGCACAAUGGGCGAAAGCCUGAUGCAGCAACGCCGCGUGAGGGACGACGGCCUUCGGGUUGUAAACCUCUCUUAGCAGGGAAGAAGCGAAAGUGACGGUACCUGCAGAAAAAGCACCGGCUAACUACGUGCCAGCCGCCGCCGUAAGAC